AAACCCUUCUUCCCUUUGCCAAGUUAUGUCUUUAUUGGUUAUUCAGGUGGGGUAAAUGAAAUAUCCUUUUAAAACUCAAGCAGUCUGGGGGCAUCCCU
ensembl:snoRNA